UCGNAAUUACUGGGCGUAAAGCGGGCGCAGACGGUUACUUAAGCAGGAUGUGAANUCCCCGGGCUCAACCUGGGAACCGCGUUNUGAACUGGGUGACUAGAGUGUGUCAGAGGGAGGUAGAAUUCCACGUGUAGCAGUGAAAUGCGUAGAGAUGUGGAGGAAUACCGAUGGCGAAGGCAGCCUCCUGGGAUAACACUGACGUUCAUGCCCGAAAGCGUGGGUAGCAAACAGGAUUAGAUACCCUGGUAGUCCACGCCCUAAACGAUGUCGAUUAGCUGUUGGGCAGCAUGACUGCUUAGUAGCGAAGCUAACGCGUGAAAUCGACCGCCUGGGGAGUACGGUCGCAAGAUUAAAACUCAAAGGAAUUGACGGGGACCCGCACAAGCGGUGGAUGAUGUGGAUUAAUUCGAUGCAACGCGAAGAACCUUACCUGGUCUUGACAUGUGCGGAACCCUCCAGAGACGGAGGGGUGCCUUCGGGAGCCGUAACACAGGUGCUGCAUGGCUGUCGUCAGCUCGUGUCGUGAGAUGUUGGGUUAAGUCCCGCAACGAGCGCAACCCUUGUCAUUAGUUGCCAUCAUUAAGUUGGGCACUCUAAUGAGACUGCCGGUGACAAGCCGGAGGAAGGUGGGGAUGACGUCAAGUCCUCAUGGCCCUUAUGACCAGGGCUUCACACGUCAUACAAUGGUCGGUACAGAGGGUAGCCAAGCCGCGAGGUGGAGCCAAUCUCACAAAACCGAUCGUAGUCCGGAUUGCACUCUGCAACUCGAGUGCAUGAAGUCGGAAUCGCUAGUAAUCGCAGGUCAGCAUACUGCGGUGAAUACGUUCCCGGGUCUUGUACACACC
rnacentral:rRNA from 1 species